rnacentral:rRNA from 1 species
UACGGGGGGGAGCAAGCGUUGUUCGGAUUUACUGGGCGUAAAGGGCGCGUAGGCGGCGCAACAAGUCACUUGUGAAAUCUCCGGGCUUAACCCGGAGCGGUCAAGUGAUACUGUCGUGCUAGAGUGCGGAAGGGGCUACUGGAAUUCUCGGUGUAGCGGUGAAAUGCGUAGAUAGUCGAGAGGAACACCUGCGGCGAAGGCGGGUAGCGUGGGCCGACACUGGACGCUGAUGCGCGAAAGCCAGGGGAGCGAACGGG